CCUANGGGGGGCAGCAGUCAGGAAUAUUGGGCAAUGGGCGAAAGCCUGACCCAGCAACGCCGCGUGAAGGAUGAAGGCCUUCGGGUCGUAAACUUCUGUCGAGAGGGAAGAAUGCGUACGGGUAAACAAUCCGUGCGUUUGACGGUACCUCCAAAGGAAGCACCGGCUAACUCCGUGCCAGCAGCCGCGGUAAUACGGAGGGUGCAAGCGUUGUUCGGAUUUACUGGGCGUACAGGGAGCGUAGGCGGUUCGGUAAGCCCUCUGUGAAAUCUCCAGGCUUAACCUGGAACAGUCGGAGGGGACUGCUGGGCUAGAGGACGGGAGAGGAGCGCGGAAUUCCCGGUGUAGCGGUGAAAUGCGUAGAGAUCGGGAGGAAGGCCGGUGGCGAAGGCGGCGCUCUGGAACGUAUCUGACGCUGAGGCUCGAAAGCGUGGGGAGCAAACAGGAUUAGAUACCCUGNUANUC
rnacentral:rRNA from 1 species